rnacentral:misc_RNA from 2 species
GAAAUGCGAUAAGUAAUGUGAAUUGCAGAAUUCAGUGAAUCAUCGAGUUUUUGAACGCACACUGCGCCCCUUGGUAUUCCGGGGGGCAUGCCCGUUCGAGCGUCAUUUCACCAAUCAAGCCUGGCUUGGUAUUGGGAUCCCGGGGUGACCGGGUCCUCAAAGUCGUCGGCUGGAAAGCUCUGAUCUCAGCGUCGUGGUUAAUCAAUUCGCGAAGUGAAGAGCGGUCUGCUGCCGUUAAACCUCAAUCAAAGGUUGACCUCGGAUCGGGUAGGAAUACCCGCUGAACUUAA